rnacentral:rRNA from 1 species
CCAGCAGCCGCGGUAAUACGGAGGGUGCGAGCGUUGUCCGGAAUCACUGGGCGUAAAGGGCGCGUAGGUGGCAAGCUAAGCGUGCGGUGAAAGCCCGGGGCUCAACCCCGGGUCGGCCGUGCGAACUGGCUCGCUGGAGCACUGUAGAGGCAGGUGGAAUUCCGGGUGUAGCGGUGGAAUGCGUAGAGAUCCGGAAGAACACCGGUGGCGAAGGCGGCCUGCUGGGCAGUUGCUGACACUGAGGCGCGACAGCGUGGGGAGC